UACGUAGGGUGCAAGCGUUGUCCGGAAUUAUUGGGCGUAAAGAGCUCGUAGGCGGUUUGUCGCGUCGGAUGUGAAAAACCUUGAGGCUCAACCUCAGGCCUGCAUUCGAUACGGGCAAACUAGAGUUUGGUAGGGGAGACUGGAAUUCCUGGUGUAGCGGUGGAAUGCGCAGAUAUCAGGAGGAACACCAAUGGCGAAGGCAGGUCUCUGGGCCAAUACUGACACUGAGGAGCGAAAGUCUGGGGAGCGAACAGG
rnacentral:rRNA from 1 species